GAUGAACGCUAGCGAUAGGCUUAACACAUGCAAGUCGAGGGCAGCAUUAUUUUAGCUUGCUAAGAUAGAUGGCGACCGGCGCACGGGUGCGUAACGCGUAUGCAACCUGCCUGUAAUUAGGGAAUAACCCGGUGAAAGUCGGACUAAUACCCUAUAUUCUUCUUUUUCCGCAUGGGGAAAGACGGAAAGAUUUAUUGAUUACAGAUGGGCAUGCGUCCCAUUAGCUCGUUGGUAAGGUAACGGCUUACCAAGGCAACGAUGGGUAGGGGGACUGAGAGGUUGACCCCCCACACUGGUACUGAGACACGGACCAGACUCCUACGGGAGGCAGCAGUGAGGAAUAUUGGUCAAUGGGCGAGAGCCUGAACCAGCCAAGUCGCGUGAAGGACGACGGUUCUAUGGAUUGUAAACUUCUUUUGUAGAGGAAUAAUGGCAGCUACGCGUAGCUGAGAUGCAUGUACUCUCGAAUAAGUAAGGGUGUU
rnacentral:rRNA from 1 species